AUGGACAAGCAGAGCGUCGUGUGGAGACAGCUGCACCAUCAGCAGCAGCAGGCCGGCGGCGCGGCGGGCGGCAAUGCCGUCGCUGGCGCCGGUGCGGCGACGACGACGACCGCGCCCGUCCGGCCGAGCGGCGCGCGGUGGACGCCCACGCCGGAGCAGGUCAAGAUCCUCAAGGACCUCUACUACGACUGCGGCAUCCGGUCGCCCACGGCGGAGCAGAUCCAGCGGAUCGCGGCCCGGCUCCGGCAGUACGGCCGGAUCGAGGGCAAGAACGUCUUCUACUGGUUCCAGAACCACAAGGCCCGCGAGCGCCAGAAGAAGCGCCUCGGCGUCGACGUCAACGCCUCCCCCCUCGCCGCCGCCGCCGCCGACGUCCUCGCCCUCUCCCCCUCCGGUACUUGCUCGCACGAAAAAGUUAUCCUCCGGUCUGAUCACCUGUUGAGAUUUAUGGACUGUGGGUUCUCUUCAGCUGGGGCAUACUUUUUCUCUGUCCAUAUGUGCCCAUUACAUUAUUACGAAUGUCAUAAGAAGAAAGUGCGGAAUUAUCAUCUAUCAACUUCUCACUCUGAUGUGUCAGGCAGUAGUUCUCCCAAAUGUGCUUCCUGGGACAAACAUAAAUACUUAGAGCGGAGUUUGGAAGAAAUCAUCUGUUUCCUUAACAGAUGGAAAUAUUGA
rnacentral:rRNA from 1 species